rnacentral:misc_RNA from 1 species
GAAAUGCGAUAAGUAAUGUGAAUUGCAGAAUUCAGUGAAUCAUCGAAUCUUUGAACGCACAUUGCGCCCGCCAGCACUCUGGCGGGCAUGCCUGUUCGAGCGUCAUUUCAACCCUCAGAACCCCUUGCGGGAUCUGGCGUUGGGGAUUGGCAUCCAGCCAGCCCCGAAAUCUAGUGGCGGUCCCUCCGCGACCUCCCCUGUGCAGUAGCGAUACCUCGCAGCGGGACAGCGGUCUGACACGCCGUAAAACCCCCAACUUCUCAAGGUUGACCUCGAAUCAGGUAGGAAUACCCGCUGAACUUAAGC